GCAUGGCUCAGUGGUAGACAGAGUGUCUGUUUUGAUAACAGCAGGUCCUGGUUCAAUCCCCAGCAUCUCCA
rnacentral:tRNA from 1 species